UGAGGAAUAUUGGACAAUGGGCGCAAGCCUGAUCCAGCAAUGCCGCGUGCAGGAUGAAGGCCUUCGGGUUGUAAACUGCUCUUGUACGGAGCGAAAAGGUCUGCCCUAAUACGGUGGGCUCAUGACGGUACCGUAAGAAUAAGCACCGGCUAACUACGUGCCAGCAGCCGCGGUAAUACGUAGGGUGCGAGCGUUAAUCGGAAUUACUGGGCGUAAAGCGUGCGCAGGCGGUUAUAUAAGACAGAUGUGAAAUCCCCGGGCUCAACCUGGGACCUGCAUUUGUGACUGUAUAGCUAGAGUACGGUAGAGGGGGAUGGAAUUCCGCGUGUAGCAGUGAAAUGCGUAGAUAUGCGGGGGAACACCGAUGGCGAAGGCAAUCCCCUGGACCUGUACUGACGCUCAUGCACGAAAGCGUGGGGAGCAAACA
rnacentral:rRNA from 1 species